rnacentral:rRNA from 1 species
GUCUACGGCCAUACCAUCCUGAACAUGCCCGAUCUCAUCUGAUCUCGGAAGCUAAGCAGGGUCGGUCCUGGUUAGUACUUGGAUGGGAGAAAUGAAUAUCAAUCUUUUGAUU